rnacentral:rRNA from 1 species
AGACCGCACUCUCCCUCUCUUUUUUUGGCUCUGGUCUCUUCUGCUCUCUGCUCUCUUCCGCCCACUCUCUAUCUUUAUGCUCGCUCGUCGCCCUCUCCUGUAUCUAUUCGGCGCGGUCGGGAUUGGGAUUUGAGGCAGGGUAGGGGGGUGGCGGCGGCGACGGCGACGGCGGAACUGCCUCCCGCCCGGCGCAGCUCUAGGCAGGCCGAUGAGACAGAGGAGCGAGGCGCGGGCGGCCGGCUGCGCGGCCUGUGCGCUGCUCCACCCCAACUUAACCAGAUAAGGUAGUCCGUAGGACGGUGACGCUCCUUCGUUACAGACAGAAGUUAGUAUGUAAUAUACUGUUGCUGCUACUGCUAUGGGGCGAUAGGAAGUUCUCCAGCAGUUGGUCGUCCGGCGGGGGGAGCUUCGUCCUUCCGAGUAGUCGUUUAUAGUGAAUACAAUCCUUGGGAUUUCGACACCGGAGUUUAGUCGUCUCCUUACCCUAAUUACCGCGAAGGUCCAGCGGCGACGGUGACUUCGGUGUCAGCUGGCCGAGUUUGGGAGCCGGAAGUCCCAGACAAGUCGGUUUGUCAAGACAUCUUGCAUCAGUUUUCUCAUUGUGUCACCUAUUCUCAUUUUACUCUUCUGGAGUACAGCUUCCACUGUUCAGUCUACUAAGUCUACUACUGUUCGGUGAACGCAAAUCCUUUUUCGGUCUGUGCUUUAAUUUCUUUCAGCUGUGUCCUCCACUCUUACGAAUACCAAGUCUUCUACUAGUAUUCGGUGUACCAUACUUAUAGUUGAGUCGUUUUCACCGAAGAUUAUUAUCGUGUUUAUUCUGGCAAAACAACUUCUGACGUGGUGAAUUCUGAGACGUUGGACUACUACUAAGUCUACUACUAGUAUUCGGUGAACAAGUCUCCAAGUUGGGUCGUUUUCCCCGAAGAUUAUUAUCGUGUUUAUUCGGGCAAAAUAACUUCCGACGUGUAUUCUAACACGUUAGAUUACUACUAAGUCUCCUACUCUUUGGUGAACGGUCGUCCAAUGGGUGAUUACGACGAGGUUUUUCAUCUCGAUCGUGGAGACUAAGUCUCCUACUCUUCGGUGACAGACGGGCUAAAAGUUCUCCAUGACGUCCAUGUAGACGCUCAUAGAGUUUAAGGUUCCUGUUCGAGGGCAGAUUGUUGUUCCCCGGUUUGUUAUUAAACUCACGAGGGGCCUUAAGUCAAUUUUCCGGUUCACUAUUGUUAUUAGUUUGUUCAAGUCGAGAAUUCUUCCGGUUUAGAAGACUACGAAGACGGAGUCCUUCACAGUUUUCUCUUAGGUUCCUACUACUGUUAUUGUCACAUGGGCAGCUUUCCUUUGACUGUGGCCCCCUCAGAAGUUUUUCGUUCGGUGGACAUUUCUUAUAACAUUUCUUCUCAGGAAAUAGACAAUUCUUCCUGUUAUUCUGUAAGUUUUGUUUUUGUUUCUUUUGUUACUUUUCAAGGGUCAAGAGUUUUAGUGACUCCCACGGAGGUCCUAGACCGCCACCUUUCUUUACCAGAUGAAACCUCGUGUUACCACAAUAAAAGGGGGGAGGUAUGUUGGGGGUACCGCAGUUUUACGAAAUGUUACCCGUUGGACAACUCGACUGAGGUCUUCUCCUCCUCCAACGUUGGUACAAACGACACUACUUUCUGUGCCUCAUGCGUCGUUUCUUUUGUAAAUAGCUGUUGAAAAAACCACUGACCUUUUUUUAAGAACCAUUUUUGGUAUAGUAGUUCUUUAAACUCGAAACACUGAAGUGGGGAUAAAUACUUACCGUGGAGUCUCUCUUCCUCUUCUUCUUUGUCUACUGUAGUCUCCUCUUCUUUCGUAACUUCCUUCUCUUUAACUUUGUUCUCCUCUUCAUAUACACCCGACAACAACUACCACAAUCUCUCUUCCAACCGUUAAAGUCUCAUCUUGGUGGUCCGAACAAGUCCCCUGCUCCUCUCGUAGGAUUCUACCCUUUUGACUUCUUUGCAUAAGCAGGUUCACUAUAAUGAUAUUUGUAACCCUUUCCGUGACGUCAGGGUCUCACAGGUUAUCUCCCUCUUUCGACCUUUCUUCAGUUUGUACUGUUAUGACAAUGUACCAACCGGAAAACCUUACUGGGCUAAUCGGUUUUUCUAAAGUUCAUACAAAAGAACCGUCGUUCGUCGAGUGAUUUCCCUGUCUCACUGUUCCUCUUUAUACUCUUCAGGGCUUUUAACUUCCUAGUGUAUGUGUUGUAAGCACAUUUAAUGUGCUUCCUAAAGUUCUCGUUACUACAGAGUUUCUUCGUUUAACGUCACCGUUGUAUGGAGUAUCUAUUUGAUCGGGAAUCCCGACCAUUACUCUUCCUACUACUACUCCGACUAUGACAACCAACAACAUGCGACUUCCAACUAUUACAAUGGACACACGGAGGUUUAUUCGAAGUCAAACUGAAGGAACCAUUUCUAAGAUAUUCUAUAAAGUUGUGACAUCUCCAACUUAAUGGACACAUGUUACGCUAACUCCUUAAGGCUUGACCGUUUUUCCUGCCUCUAGGACAGAAACUGUUCGAACUAUGUUGCUUUGAUUUAGUAGUAGACUUCCUGAACUACGGACCGGAAUGACGCUUUCACAAGGCAUGUAUAUUACGAAGCUAAUGGAACCUACGAUAGAACGUACUUCUUUGUCUUCUACCUUGGGAAGAACUUUUCUAACGACAGAUAGUUGCUCGUUUGUUUCUCCAACGAUAUUAGACAUUGGUAGUCGCACGACACAGUUUCAGUGUACUAUGGGUCUACUGAUUCGACUUACUUUUCUAACUGCUUAAUUUCCGGGUCUAGCUACUCGACUUGUUUCUAAACCCGUUUCACUUCUCUCCUUUCGGAGAUCCGUUGCCACGUCUACCCUUCGGUUUCUCUUGAAACCGUGGACUUCGCUAACUCUUCUUCUAGAGAGUCUAUCUUUGGUUCUAUCUCUUUUACCUCUACCUAUUCUUCUGCUUCCUCCUAAACUUCUGCCACCGUAAUCCCUGUAGUUUCUAGUUGAUGGAACUAGGGUCUUAAUGCCAUCGUACCACGUUUUGGGUACUUCAGGGAUAACUCUUCUAAAAGUCGUUCUGCUAAGAACGCUUCAAACCUACCCGUUACCUACAGCUCGGCCUAAAGUCUAAGAUUCUCAUAACCGAAGGCCCACUCGGUUACCGGGGAACCAUUUAAGCUAAGUCGAAGGUCCGGAAGAGGGCCUGGGGAUUGACGUUGAUCAUCAUUUCCUUCUCGAGCCACAAACAAAAAAUUCAGGGGGACGAGGACCUUCUUCCUUCGUGGGUCGUAAGAGAAACAUCCGAGAAAAAAAAAGAAAGAUGGGUAGAAGAGAAGACAUGAACGAUACCGGGUUAACGGAUUUCAGCACAAAACGUAAAGUAAACCCGACUGCCUAAAAUCGAACAACUCUUGACUACCUGUAAGUAAAAUAUGGCCUAGUUAGAGUUUAUAUCUACUGGACAGUCUCACUACCAACACCUAAGCAAACUUGCUCCUUCGUUUGACACAACAAACUACGUCAACUCAUGACCAACACACUACGACUCCACAUUCAAAACUAGCUUUUCACAAACAAGCACCAUUGAUACGUGGCACCCCAUACUUAAACCCCCAUAUACGAGGUACUCGCACGCACCGACGCACACGCCAAAACGACUGUGACUCCGAGACAAGCCAUUACCAGGCGAGACCCUUAGACACCUCUCCUAUUUACCGUUGAGGUGGUAAAACUGGAUGUCGAGGCGGAUGAGGCGAGACCCUCGACACCUCGCCUCACUGCGGCUUGUCGGGGACUCUAGACCAAGACCGACCGUCCAGCUAAACGGAGAAAGCAAAACAGGAUAUUAUCUCACCACACUAAAAACAACGUUAAAACCCUUUGCCCAACAUGUUCCCUCAGAUUUCGACACCACGGUGGCCUCACUUUAACCUCGACCAUGACAAGUAUAAAAGAACCUAGGUGUCACCCUCACCACU